rnacentral:lncRNA from 1 species
GCAUUGUCAAGGGUGAAGUGAGUGUGGCACUGAAGGAGCAGCAGGCCACUGUCACUUCCAGCAUCAUGCAGGCUAUGCGCUCAGCUGCUGGCACACCUGUCCCCUCUGCCCACCUUGACUGCCAGGCCCAACAAGCCCAUAUCUUGCAGUUACUGCAGCAGGGCCACCUCAAUCAGGCCUUCCAGCAGGCUCUGACUGCUGCUGAUCUCAACCUGGUGCUGUAUGUGUGUGAAACUGUGGACCCAGCCCAGGUUUUUGGGCAGCCGCCCUGUCCACUGUCCCAGCCCGUUCUCCUUUCCCUAAUCCAGCAGCUAGCAUCUGACCUUGGAACUAGAAGUGACCUCAAGCUCAGCUACUUGGAAGAGGCUGUGAUGCACCUGGACCACAGCGAUCCCAUCACUCGAGACCACAUGGGCUCUGUCAUGGCUCAGGUGCGCCAGAAGCUCUUCCAGUUCCUGCAGGCUGAUCCACACAACUCACUUGGCAAAGCUGCCCGCCGCCUCAGCCUAAUGUUACACGGCCUUGUGACCCCUAGCCUCCCUUAGCCAUUUAAACAGGGAUGGGGUGACACUGAAGGCCAGUUGGCAGGUUUAGGUCAAGGCAGGGCCGUGUCUGCUGUUUUCCUGCUCAGGCCUUCAUCUCUGGUGUUUGGAGGGAGGUAAGCAGCCGGGCACACUGGCAGUGGUCUACUGAUUGUGGUAACCAGCAGGGUUAGGCUGGGCCCAGGGCAGGUAUUGUGCCUUCUUGGGUCCUGCCAUGCCUGAAGCAUGACCCCAAGAUCGUGACACCACUUGAGUUGAAUUUUCCAUGUUCCUUUUUACCUCUAAUUUGGAUCUUUUUGUUUUUGAAAAACAUUGAGAAAUUCAAUUAAAGGCUUUUGGAAUAAAAGAAAGUAUGUGUGUGGUUUAGUCUGUCUCUGAUGUGACUAUUCUUUCCUCCCUUUGGGGAGGUAUGUCUAAACCCAACCUGGGGUCCCUGGCACUCAUUCUCAUCUGAUACACUCCCUACCCACACU